CCCAUUUCUGAACAGCAAGGGGGCUUGAUUGCCUCAUCUCUUCCAUCCCCGCCCCCCUUGAAUCGCAGUAGCGGAUCGUUCUAGAAGGAAAGCUAUACGCUGGAAUCUGACAGCCAUUCAAAACCUUGUAAGAUGACAGUUAAAGAGGCUUCUGUCCUGAUGAGUGGAGCCAGCUGAGGAUGGGUUUUUGUGUGUGUGUUUGUUUUGGCGGCAUCGGGCACGUCAGCCAACCCAUCUCCUCUUCUGAAAUCUAACAUCUUCCUCUCACACAAGCGAGCGCCUUUGCUUUAUAGCGGGGGGCCAAUUACUGGGGUGAUUAGCUGGUGGAUUGGCCGGCUUCCAGCAUUUGUUUAUACAAACAUGGCUGCAUGAGAGCCAAAGAUGCUUGCUCCGGAGUCGAGCGUGCCGUUCAUUCCCCUUCUGUAUGUCAUUAUGGCAGUGCCAUAGCAGUUUGUCAAGUCGUUCCCCCUCGUCUCUUCUCUGAUAUCGCUGGGGACUACAUCGGAAAUGUGUCUGUGUGCCCAGCCUCCCCACCCCCACCCCAACACACACACACACAUUUGUGCAGUUGUAUAUGUAAGCAAGUAUGUGCAUGUGUGUGUCUAUAUGCAUGGCCCUGUUCCUGCAUGUGUGUCUGUGUGUGUGUCUGUGUGUGUGUGUGUGUGUGUGUGUGUGUGUGUGUGUGUGUGUGAGAUAGAGAGAGAGAGAGUGAGCAUAUCUGUGUCCCUGUACAUAGGCCCCAACGGACAGAGCCUCACGGGGAUCGUGGGCAUCUGGGCUAUAUUUAAUAAAUAGCCCCGUAUUUUAUUAUUUUUUUUUCAAAAAUAAGAAUCAGACAAAAAUAUUGUUGAUCAAAACUGCAAGUAUGUUUUGGGUAAUUUGUGUGUCAUUCAAGCAGCAGAUCUACUUCACACUACUUGGCCCACGCAUAAGUCAUUGUUGGCAUCUGGUGUCAUUUUCAUACCCAAAUAUUUCUCUUCCAGCUGUGUGGUAAAAUUUCUGAAAAUGUGUGUGAAAAGUGUGUGCUGUCAACUCGCAGCCUGCAACAUGGGUGCAAAUGCACAGCAGCAACAAAAAAAAAGGAAGAUUCAAGUUUGAACAAUUGAGAACUUUUUUCACAACGAAUAAACACUAGUUACUUUUCAGAUCACCAUUUACAAUGUUUCAAACUAAAUAAUCCACCUGGAGGACAGACACAUUUGAAACUCUGCACGUGUGUGGGAGAAACACUGUGAAAAGAGGUCUGCAGUUGUGAGGAAGGAAAACUCCAAUACGAAAUAAUGUUUGGAGAGAUUUUUCAUCCUAUCAAAACAUUAUGCAAGCCUUCAAAAUUAGAUUUCAAUCUUGCAAAACUUUUUAAAAUUAGAUUUCACCCUUUUGUUUCAGUUUUGAAAUAUGAAGUGAUAUUCACCUCAUAUACUACCACUAACUGAUGUGGAAUGAUAUUCAUCCCAUAUACUACCACUAACUGAUGUGGAAUGAUAUUCGUCCCAUAUACUACCACUAACUGAUGAAUUGACAGUAUUGCAAAAUUCAUGUGGUGGCAUGACAUGACUUAAUACCCUAGACAACUAUAAUUCUGAAACACUGCCCACCUCUACGAUAUAAGACGUUUUUUUUCAAAAAGAAAAAGGAUGAAGCCACGUGGUGCUGGCAAGGCUAGAGAAAGAGUCAUCUCCUGCUGCUGACCAUUUGGCAAAAGCAUGGUAGAAGGGAACGACUCAACUUUAAUAUCUCCCACUUUAGUAUCUCCCGAUCUUCAGACAGCACUCUUUAUAGGCCUAUCUAAACCUUGGUUUACCAUACAAAAGCUGAAGUUGUGUGUUCUGAUAUUCAAACAGUAUACAUAACAGUCAAGUAGUCUAUAAAAACCUUGUAAAUGUAACCCAUAGCAAUGACCAUGCCCUGUGUCAGUGUGACCUAUCAGAAAAAGUGUUUUCAUGUAGACAAGCAGUGUGGAAUUAUGGAUGGGAUGUUCAUGUGAGUCGGACAGACGACGGGCCUCAUAAAUGUGUGUGUGUGUGUGUGUGUGUGUGUGUGUGUGUGUGUGUGUGUGUGUGUGUGUGCGCGCGCAUACCACAGACUGUCUACACUCCAGCUGUUAUUGUCUCAAACUGUCUGAAAAAAAAAUUAAAACAUCACGGGAGAGCACGCUCCCUGGAAACCCCUACAGGCCGUAAGCCACGCCCUGCAGAGCCUUCUGAUUACCGUCAAUGUGCUUGUCGACCAACACCACACUGCAAGUCACAACUCAGGUAAACACCCAGUAAACACACACACACACAGACACACACACAACAAGAGACAUUAGAGAAAGCAGAAAGGUCCAUGCCUUGGCAGGCUUCUAAGCAUGCUUAGUUCAGAGCACAAAGACAGUACCUUCCUGCCCCAGGUAUCUAGGUUAUGUUAGCCUGCUGCUAGGUUAUGUUAGCCUGCUGCACAGGAGUUCAGCUUUCAUCACUCUUUACUGCCCUGUAAACACCGCCCACUGACAUCCAAACAGGUAUAUAGGUUACGUUAGCCUACUGCACGGGAGUUCAGCUUUUAUCACUCUUUCCUGCCCUGUAAACACAGCCCACUGACAUCCAAACAGUUGCCAACAUGGUCUCUCUAGGGAGUAUAUGCCAACCCUUUGCCCAAUCCUUCUGAAUGACUGCUAGGUUCUGAGGCCUAUGUCUUCUGAAGGAAAGGAGACUGGGUACAGCUGUUAUACUUUUUGCCUUGUUGCUAAAAAUCGCUGCUUUCAUUUUAACAUAUAUGCAACAUACACCUCUCGUCUCUUUAUUUACUUCACUAAUUCAUUACCUUUUCUGUAAUUUUCAUCUAAAUGCAGUGUGUGAAUUUGGGGACAGUUGUAACGUGAGAGUUCUAACAUUGGACAAAUUUGAAGGGGUUUAUAAGUCAACUUUACGGCAACCACUGUGCAUUAUUCAUACCAAAAGAUUGUUUUUUUCUGUAAGUGUUUGCUUUCAAAGUAUGAGAUAGUCGCUUACAAACCAAGUGUCAUAUUUUCUCAUAAGUUGCUAGCCCAUUUCAAAUUCUAGCUACGCUUGCUAUUGCAACUUACUAUAUGCAGCCUGCAUGUUACAAUUAUCCCCAGUAGACCUCUCCUAAUAUCUGAAAAUAUAACUUGAAUAUAAUACAUUGUAUGCAGCUAAUUAUUAUACUACCAUUUAGAUAGGAAGUCACUGAUCACAACGACCUGUGCUUGUGUUUCUGUCAAAACCCAUCAAUUCUGCGCAAUUCAAGUUACAAAUUUGCCCAACAAAACGACUUCUGUCUAGAACUUUUGACAGAGAUUGAGAUGCUUGAUGCCAUCACACAUGUUGUCUGUGAGUUGCAUUGCAUUAGGUUAAACACGAGCUGAGAAACAUGAAGCAUGUUACAACUGUCCCCUUGUUGCAACUGUACCCGUUCUCCCCGACUUCAAAUAACAAAUGGCGAGGUGUUAUUGAGGUCACCAGACUUAUUUGGCCCCUGUAAUGCUGUGCCAGUAAUCAUCCAGACGCCUCCCUAGACCCUCACCCCCACUGCAAGUUAGCCAGUAUAGCUGUCCCCAGUGGCCGUCAGAAUUAAAUACAGUUUUAAACACCUAUAUGUAGAAACAGUGAAUUUCAGUUCGCCGACACUGACGUUUUAUAAUUUUAAACUGUCCCAUCUUAAAAGGGGGUAUCGUCACCACCAAACCUUCAGUUCCUGUCGAAGGUACUUUAAACAAGAAAUGUACGAUUCAGCCGAUUCAUUGAGUUGCUGAAUAUCACAGAUGCUAUUUGGAUCGAUUACUUAACUUAAAUAUACUUGUUUGCCUGUGACAGGAAAGGAAAAUAAAAUACAACAGCGUCGCGCAAUGCCACUGCAUCUCAUCAUCCGCCAGCAGCAGAUGAGGAAAGAUGGACCUGGCUUUGUAAACUGAUGUGAAUGUGUCGAGCGUUCUCUUCGCCGACCACAGACAUGCAAAUGACAAAGAUACUGAACAAAUGAUAAUGAACAUUGAAUGUUAUUUUUUAAAGCUGUUAAUAAAGUGGAACCUUAAAUAGCACAAAAAUAAAGAAGUCACUGCCUUGCUUACACUUACAGAAAAUACAUCCAUCUAUCUUACAAUUGUAUGGCAGACAAUUGUUAAGACAUAAUAUUUUGACAUUGCGCACUACUGCAACACGAUGCUUAAAAUGGACCUGCACUGAAUUCUGGAUUCGCCUUAUUUUUUUAACAAUUGUGGCUACCGCACACCCAAGUAGAGAUAGUUCCCCAUACAGAAGUCAGAUCAGUCAAAUCUAAAACUUAACGCAAAUAAAUUAAACCAUGUGGCCUUAUCAUAAGCUAUUAUUUCAAAUAGGGUAUAAAUUAAACAACGAAGAUGAAAUAUAGAGAAUAUGACCUAAAUAUGCAUCCAAUCAGUUGGUAAAUCAGAUCUGAAUGGCCUCACCCAGCAAGAGGAUAGGACAAGAUAAGCGCACCAACUGAUCCAAAAUCAGUGGCGGCGGGCACCAUUUGGUUAGCUCAUUGGAUCAAAUCAAUGGUGCAUUUAGCCAUUACAAUGAGCAUAACAUUUGAAUAAACAAUUCAUUCCAUAGCCUACGCAGUGCAAUGACAGUGCAGCUCGCAACUAUUUUCGUACUCUUAUCUGACACUAGAACUUGGUUUGAAUUUUAGUUUUUAGUUAAGGAUGUGAAUGAGUAUGCUAACCUCUGCAUUACCAAUUACAUUAUCUAAACACAAGACGGUCAAUGUUGUUGAUCUUUGUGCAUGUUAUUGAUCUUUGCGCAUGCAACAAACAGUCAUGCCCGUCUGAAUACCGGACUCGGCACGAACUCCGACAGUCUAAAAUCCGUUCUGUUCUCCUUACCUUUGAUACCAGACGUCUAACCACAAAUGGGCGAAUCACAUUCUCUUGGUCCAUUUCCAUUGUAUUCCCAUAUUAUUCCAUGGUACGUUUUCGUUGCACAAUUUCCCAAAGGUUGGACAGAUCCAUACCGACCAGGUACGGCAAACGCCCGGCUCGCUGCACUGGCUGCAAGUCUGUGCGAUAGCAGGCGAAGGGUCCGUUCUAGAUGCGUAAAGAAGCCUACCACUUCAGCAGUUUCCCGUCAACGAUAGCAGAAAGAAAAGAUAUAUUUUCAAAGAUUACGAGCACCAAAAUAAAACAACUCUUUACAAGCCCGUUAAAUCACAAAUCCAUCGGAGUUGCGACAGGUUUUCAACAUUCUCCAGCUCCUAAAACUGCACGGACUUCCCUUGAUGCUGGGUGCAUUUAUCCUUAGUAUGCAGGGAGAGAAAAAAUAGUGAUUAUUUCCUUUGAAAGACCCAUUACUUCAAAUAUGUCCGCGCAGGACAGGCACAAAGUAUUGUUCUCCUUUUGCAACUAAAGCAAAGCCGAUUAGAUUUCAGUUCAGGACCGGAGAUGGACACGAGCGCGGGGAUAUAUAUCUGCACAGGAUCUAAGCGGCUGUGCAACGCCGCUCAUGGGGGCAAGGAGAAACGGCAGAUUGCAGUCUGAAGUCCCUAGCGGGGAAAAAAACAUCCUGCGUC
ensembl:lncRNA